rnacentral:lncRNA from 1 species
GCAUUAUUCAGAAACAUAAACAUGUUUGAUUUUUUAUCCAUCUAAAGUAACAUUGUUCCUAAAUUAGUUUUUUAGUCUAUUUAAAGAUGGAUCUUGUGAUCUCUUUACAUACAUUGAUAUCAGAUAAAAUUUUAAGCAGCUAACAUGCUAUAUCAUGCUUUCAAAAACACUCAAACUAAACUAAAAAAUAGUACGUAUAAUAGUAUAAGGCCUUGAUGUUAUUAAAGUACUUAAGUUUAUAUUAUAAGAAAAUAGUAUUUAGAUCAUAAUUUACAUAUAUAACAUAUCAAUAAGUACAAACACAACCUCGAAUGAAUAACAUUUAUUUAUUCGUAAAUUUGAUCAAAGAGCACAACUUUGUACCAUGAUUUUAUUCAUGUCACACGUAUGAUACUAUUAACUUGUAUAAUACAAAGCACCAAUGACUUAUUUAAUAGAUAUAUGGCUUAUUUAAUAGAUAUCAAAGCUUAUACUUCAGGUGGUGGCGGUGGUUUAUCUAUGGGUCUUCCAGUACCCAUAUCAUUUGGCUGGAAUUCAUAAACAUUUGCGGAAGUGUUUGGAAUUGGUGGCUUUGGACCUAUGGGUUUACCCCUACCCUUUUGUUGGACUUGGUAAACAUUUGCAAGGCCUUGUGGAACAAUGAUGAGAGCAGCAAAGAACAAAACUAGUAAGGACAAGAAAAAGGAAGCCAUUUUGAUAAGUGGUUUUAAUGUUUGUGCUUAAAAUAUAUGGG